GCGCCUGUAGCUCAGGUGGAGAGAGCGGGGGCCUUCUAAGCCCUGUCUUGCGGGGGUUCGAGUCCUCCCAGGCGCACCA
rnacentral:tRNA from 1 species